UAGGGCGCCUUUAGGGACGAAGCCAAGGGCUCUGUUUCUCAUGGCCGUUUCUGCAUUUCUCUCCUUCCCCUUCCUGCACGUCCCCAAGGAGGACGAGGAGGACGGCCCCGCAGCACCUCGGGCCCAGCUUGCUCAGCAGCCCCGCCCGCGCCCUCCCACCCCCGCAUCCGCACCAGGCACCGCUCCCUGAGCAAUUCCUGAGGCUUCUCGGAGACACCCCCCUCGAGAUCCCCCAGGGACAUGUUGGAAAACGUGCUCAGAGCUGAGCAGAGAAAGAGGUCCCAUCUAGUACCAAGGUGGCAUCAGAAAGAAGGGAAAAGUGGGGCGUAUUCUGGACCCACUCACUUACUGAAGGAAAAAAGAAGUGCUGGCUUUCGUGGGCAGAGAGGGCCCGAUCCGAGUUCCAGCUGGGAUGGGCCAGGAGGUGGGCCUCCUGCCGGGAAGCCGCUAGGACCUGCGUGCUGGCCUAACUGUCGCAACGUCCCCGGGGCCCCAGCAGAGGGGCCGAGCCCAGAAAGAACCUGCAAACGCAUCGUCAGAUCGCGCCAUCGAACUGCUCGCAGCGCGGGGCAACCAGAGGAGGGGCCCUUAUGUCUUCCUCAUCUUCUCAUCUCUAGUCUCGCACUGGCCAGUGGGAGCCACGAGUCAGAGGUGCCUGCUCCUAUUUAAAUUCACUAAAGGAGAUCCAAUGACACAUGCAGGCCCGCAUCACACCAGCCCGCAUUUCAAGGGCCCAGUCAACAAAGCACAUUCCCGUCCUCCCAGAACAUUCUCUUGGGCAGCAGCGCUGUGUCUGCUGCAGGAUCUGAUCCUCAGAGCUGCUUAAGCCGAAGCACGUGCAUCUCAGUUGCAAGUACAGGCCAAGACGAUCAGAGGCUCGAGCUCGGAUGCCCCGGCGGAAACGGGCAAGUGAGGGCUUGAGCAGGUCCCUCUCUCUCACGUGAAGGUCUGCGACUGUGGUCAAUAUCGCGGUGAAGGGCUCUGGUUCCACGGAGCCCGGGGAUGGCUGGGAUCCCAGAGCAAAGAGCCGGGUGACACCGCGUGAGCCCCUCCCUCUCCUAAUGUAAUGGCUCGUGUUCGUGUUUGUAAAGAACGGCUUGUGGAGAGCACAUGUGACCAUCGAGGAUGAAGACUCUCCAGGGAAACCAAACCACCAGAGAAGAGCAUGGAAGUACCCACCAUUGCAUGUGAGCACAAAGAAAACAAGACAUGGAGACAAGAGGAUGGUAAUAACGCAUGCAGGAGGCUGCCAGGGGCCCCGAGACGUCCUGUGUAUUUAACCGGGGUGUUGGAAGCAGAUGUGUUUCUACUGACAAGAAGCCGUGAAGUCCUGCACCUAAGAUCUGUGCCCUGUGCAGUACGCCCAGACUGUCCUGGGCUGUGCUGGCAGAAGAGCUCUGCAGACAGAGGAGCGGAGUCUCCAUGGAAGACGAAGAGCUGCAGGGACCCUCAUCCCCGAGGCCCAGGCUGUCUCCUCGUGAUGCUCCUUUGUGAAUCUCCUGUUGCAUUUGAUGUGCUUGUUUGCAGGACCAAAUGAUCUCCAGUCU